rnacentral:lncRNA from 1 species
CCAACAGUACCUUCCCUGUCCAAACCCGGCCGACAAUUGCAGAAGCUUGCAAAACCACUCUUGGGUUAGUCACCUUCUGUUAGUCCCAAAGAUUCGAGGAAAAAGACCAACUGACCCAAAUAAUUAUGGGCAAACUGAUCAAGGCCAGCAAUUAAUUAAAGCAAACUUUUUGUGUAUACGGGCUGCCGUUCCCUAAGGUGGGGUUCAAGAGGUCAGCAUUGGAUGAGAGAGGAAGGCAGUUUUUAUAGCUCAGGGGUGGGGGUUUCCAAUGGGAGAUUUGGUGUGCAAAAUAGACUGGGUUGCAGGAGAGGUACAUGAGCAUUGCACGGUUUUUGUUUUUGCUUGUUUGUUUUUUUGAGACAGGGUUUCCCUGAUGUAGCUUUGGAGCCUGUCCUGGAACUAGCACUGGUCUCGAACUCAGAGAUGCGCCUGCCUCGGCCUCCGAAGUGCUGGGAUUAAAGGUGGGUGCUACCACCACCACCACCCCCACGUAAGUAUAGCAUAUAAGUCCUAAUGACCUCCUGAAACAAAGGCAUAAUUAGAAGGUGGUUGCGACAAGGUGGUCAUAUCAAACUUUUGAAACAAAGGUAGGGUUGCAAAGAUGGUUAUACACAACUUUUUGAAACAAAGAUAUGGUUGGGGUUUCCUGGAACAGGCAGUACAGAACCAUUUGUGGCUAAGGUUACAGGUGGGGCACAGCCCAGUCUUGAGAAACAGAUUUAAUCAUAAACAGGAAUGAACCUAGUUUGUUGUCUUUAAUAUAAGAUAGCUUUCAAGCCUAGGAUGGAGGCAGGCUGGCUGAUCACUUCCUGAGAGGGGCUGAGUGAAGGUCUACAUCUGAGGGAAAGCGACCAAACAGGCACAGGCACGUCUUGUUGUGUUGGUAUUCUACAGAAUAAAGAACUUAAGUUUCAUUUAAAUUAUAAACCAUUAAUCUUUAGACUAAUUUAAUAAGAGAAAAGAAUCUUUUCAAAUUACAGCUGACUUUAAACAUUUGCCACAGGCGGCAGAACUGUGCGUGUGUUCGAGCACCUCCACACGCACUGGGCUACAUGUGGGUGGUGGGUGUGUGCGUGUGCUGUAUGGACGUAUAGUGUGGACGUAUAUUCCUUCCCGCCUCUCCACCCCCCCCACUCUCUUGAGACCCCAGAGCACAUUUGUUUCUGCUACACUGGCUGUCCAGUGAGAUCCCGGGAUCUACCGGAUCCAUUCCCUCCUGCGCGCAGGUCACAGGAGAACACAGACCUCUCUGGUUUUGUUGUUGUUGUUGUUGUUGUUGUUGUUGUUUUUACCUGGUGCGGGUGUUGGAACGCCUGACCACAUGCUUACACUGAGCCAUGCCACCAACCCAACAAGCACCUGCCUCUUUAAACCCGUUAACUUACAGGAAACAGGAAAACAAAGAAUUACCUAACACCCCAGGCCAGGUGCAGGUAGGUAGCGUCACCAUCAUCCUAAGAAAGAGGAACUUGGUCCUCUCUAAAGGAAAAGGAAGCCGGGUACCAGUCUUGUGGAUGUUUUUGGAAGACAACUUACUGGAACGCUUUUGGGUGGAUUUUUGCGUGACUGUGUAUAGUCUGAAGAGGUGGCAUGCUGUACUUAAAGUCCUGGACGUAAUUCUUCAGGAAUGUGAGGGUGUGGGUGUUCUAGGUCACCUGCCCGGGACUGGAGUCGCCACUUUGGUACUGAAGGAGGCACUGGAGCUCCCUCUAGUGGUCAUGCUUAACCAAGCGUGGCUGCCGGCCUCUAUUCUCUUUCCUGGCCCACAAUCUAACAACCAACUAGUGUCCUUUUCCCUCCAAGCACUCCAAGGCGACUCAGGAUGUAUCUCACUUUCAAAAGAUUUCCAGAAAAGCGGUUCUCCAAGGCCGGGCCCGGUUUCAGUACGGUCUGACUUUCCGGAGCACGACUUUCCGGAUUUAUGCUUAAAAAAAAAAAAGUCAGUUUCUGGUGCAGCUUCGGACAGUUCUGGCUAAGUAGGGUCACUCUGUGGUUAGGAUUACAGACUUCGGAGUCAGUCUUCCUUUAACAUUUCCAAGUCUGUCAUCUCUCUUUGGGGUGUUUUAUGUCUCAGCAAGUCAGAUGAAUCAGGCUCAGAAUCCAUCCCUCUUCCCCCACAACUUCAAAUCUAAGCCUCGCCCUCCUUACACUGCGCUGUGGACUGGCCUCUGCCCAAAGCCCAGCGCAUCUCUCAGGAAGACACAGGACUUAAGCUUGUCUUCGGCGCAUUUACUGUCCAUCCAAAGCCUGGGACGUCGCCACGCUCACUGUCACAAUCACUUUCCGGGAGAAGGACGUCCUCCUGUUUCCCCAUUUAAUCAGCAUGCAGCCAGAUUCGGUGUCCUGUGAGUCUACAGGUGAGGAAGGAACCCGAGACUCACAAGGUCAAGCGUCCUGCACACGGGGCGGGAGGAGACUGUGCUCAGGUUCCCUGGAGCUCUAAGGCACACGGCUGGCUGAGACUCCUGCAGACCUGGGUUCGAAACCCGGCUGAGCCUCGGAGCUCAGUCACCUCCUCGCGCCCGUGUUUGGUUCUGAAGGCAGGGUUUCCAAUUCGGGACUGUUACUAGCACGAUAAAGCGUGAGCCAGCAGCGCCUGGCUCACGGCCGCAGGAACUAUAAAUGUGAGCUCCCUUUCAGACCCCAAGCCUGGCGAACGGCUUGGCUUCUCCUAUUUCUACAGCGGCUCCUCCCUCCCGGAGCUGCCCAGGCCACCGGGGGUGCCAACUGUGGAGCGCUGCGCCGGUCUUGACGCUGCAUCCGGCACCAGCGAUCCUUCAGAGGCUCCGGGGAGAGCGGCGGGGAGCUGGGGCGGGGAGGCAGGAGAGAGGACGGGAUAGAGGGGGCUGGGCGGAACGCAGAGAGAGCUGGCACCCCCUGCGGAGGCCCCGCCACACGGCCCGCACCUCCAGGGUCCCCGAGGGGCCCAGGCUCUCCCUCUCCCCGCCCUUCAUCCCAGCGUCUUCCCUUCCUAGCCAGCCCUGGGUGGGGUCCCCAGCGCAUCCAAAGGCAAACAGUGGUCCGCC